rnacentral:rRNA from 1 species
GUCGGAAGUGAAAACUUGGGGCUUAACCUGAGCGUGCUUUCGAUACGGGUUGACUUGAGGAAGGUAGGGGAGAAUGGAAUUCCUGGUGGAGCGGUGGAAUGCGCAGAUAUCAGGAGGAACACCAGUGGCGAAGGCGGUUCUCUGGACCUUUCCUGACGCUGAGGAGCGAAAGCGUGGGGAGCGAACAGGCUUAGAUACCCUGGUAGUCCACGCUGUAAACGGUGGGUACUAGGUGUGGGGUCCAUUCCACGGAUUCCGUGCCGUAGCUAACGCAUUAAGUACCCCGCCUGGGGAGUACGGCCGCAAGGCUAAAACUCAAAGGAAUUGACGGGGCCCCGCACAAGCGGCGGAGCAUGCGGAUUAAUUCGAUGCAACGCGAAGAACCUUACCUGGGUUUGACAUGGACUGGGAGUGCUCAGAGAUGGGUAUGCCUCCUUGUGGGGCUGGUUCACAGGUGGUGCAUGGCUGUCGUCAGCUCGUGUCGUGAGAUGUUGGGUUAAGUCCCGCAACGAGCGCAACCCUCGUUCACUGUUGCCAGCACGUUAUGGUGGGGACUCAGUGGAGACCGCCGGGGUCAACUCGGAGGAAGGUGGGGAUGACGUCAAGUCAUCAUGCCCCUUAUGUCCAGGGCUUCACGCAUGCUACAAUGGCCGGUACAAAGAGUUGCGAGCCUGUGAGGGUGAGCGAAUCUCGGAAAGCCGGUCUCAGUUCGGAUUGGGGUCUGCAACUCGACCCUAUGAAGUCGGAGUCGCUAGUAAUCGCAGAUCAGCAACGCUGCGGUGAAUACGUUCCCGGGGCUUGUACACACCGCCCGUCAAGUCAUGAAAGUCGGUAACACCCGAAGCCGGUGGCCUAACCUGUGU